UUUUGGGGCUGUACAGAUGUGUGCAGCUGAACAGCAGCACACUGUGUCGAGUGGUAGUAGGUUCCCGACAGUGUAUGGUGGCAAAGGCGGUGGUGGGGCAGUGUCACCUUGCUCAGGUGGUAGUAGGUUCCCGACAGUGUAUGGUGGCAAAGGCGGUGGUGGGGCAGUGUCACCUUGCUCAGGUGGUAGUAGGUUCCCGACAGUGUAUGGUGGCAAAGGCGAUGGCGGGGCAGUGUCACCUUGCUCAGG